UACGAAGGGGGCUAGCGUUGCUCGGAAUCACUGGGCGUAAAGCGCACGUAGGCGGCUUCUUAAGUCAGGGGUGAAAUCCUGGAGCUCAACUCCAGAACUGCCUUUGAUACUGAGGAGCUUGAGGACUGGAGAGGAGACUGGAAUUCAUGGUGUAGCAGUGAAAUGCGUAGAGAUCAUGAGGAAGACCAGUGGCGAAGGCGGGUUGCUGGGCUGACACUGACGCUGAUGCGCGAAAGCCAGGGGAGCGAACGGG
rnacentral:rRNA from 1 species